AUGUUGGUGUUUGCAGAAUGUAUACUAAAGUUAGAAUAAUACAGAGAUUAGCAUGGCCCCUGGGCAAGAAUGCCAUGCAGAUUCAAGGAGCUUUCAAUAUUUUA
ensembl:snRNA U6 U6 spliceosomal RNA